rnacentral:misc_RNA from 1 species
CCGUAGAAAAGGAUGGCGUAGCUGAUGAAGUUCGCCAUCGUGACGGCGCGAAACAGCAAAUAACGACGCCGGGGGAGGAGCGAACGGAGCAUGCCGUACUCCACGGCAAGUGUGAUAAUG